rnacentral:piRNA from 1 species
CCCAGUUGCUCUGAAUGAUGGUGAGAAGG